rnacentral:ncRNA from 1 species
CUGACAUGUGUGUGAGUCAACGAGUGAGUAAAGAUUGGUGGGAUCCCUUUGAAGGGGUGCAUCGACGCAUCGCUGAUUGACCUUGAUCUUUUGAGAAGGAUUCGAGUGUGAGCAUACUUGUCGGGACCCAAAAGAUAGUAAACUAUGCCUGAGCCGGGCGAAACCAGAGGAAACUCUGGUGGAAGUUCGAAGCGAUACUGACGUAUAAAUCAGAUCUGACAUGAAUAUAGGAGUGAAAAACUAAUCGAACCGUCUAAUAGCUGA